rnacentral:rRNA from 1 species
AACGUAGGUGGCGAGCGUUAUCCGGAUUUACUGGGCGUAAAGGGUGUGCAGGCGGGCUGUUAAGUGGUGUAUGAAAUAUCCCGGCUCAACCGGGAGAGGUUAUGCCAGACUGGCAGUCUAGAGAGCGAGAGAGGGACGUGGAAUUCCGGGUGUAGUGGUGGAAUGCGUAGAGAUCCGGAGGAACACCAGCGGCGAAGGCGGCAUCCUGGACUGGUCCUGACACUCAGGAGCGAAAGCGUGGGGAGCGAUCCGG